rnacentral:misc_RNA from 1 species
UUUCCGUAGGUGAACCUGCGGAAGGAUCAUUAAUGAAAUGCAAGGACGCUCUUUUUAGAGGUCCGACCCAAAUCAUUUCCUUUACACUGUGCACAUACUACUUUUUUCUACACCAUUUUUUAAACGCAAUAGUCUAAGAAUGUCAUAUCAGUCUCGAAAGAGCAUAAAAGUAAUAAAACUUUCAGCAACGGAUCUCUUGGCUCUCGCAUCGAUGAAGAACGCAGC